CACUAGUCAACUUACUCACCACUAUGACCAGCCUGAGAAAGAAUUCUCUUCGCAUCCCUUCCUUCCCUGUAUCAUCGCAGCAGCCAGGACGGCGCGACGCCAUCAACCACCGGGCGGUGACCCGCAACCUAGAGCAGGUGCAGGAUCGCCACCGCCUCCGGCCGACAAGGAUUGAGCUCCAUGGUUCCAGGCGCACCGGGCAGAUCCGCCGCCGAGGGGACGACCUCCACCACUGCCCCGCUACCCUGCAUACUCUACGCGCCCAACCCCGGCCACCUCGACGACUCGCCUCCGCAUGGACGACCUGCACCACCGUCCUACUACCCCAGAAUCGACGCCGCCGCCGCCUUUUGGCGACUUCCCCUACCCAAGUGGCGUCUCCAACAUCAGAUUGGUGUCUGCUCCUUUGCUCUGAAAACGUGUCAUGCUGUCCAGAUCCGUUCUCUUUGUCCUGAAGUUGGCUGGGGACUUUCCACAUGGCAAGUUCCAUUGGAUGUAUCAAAGAUAAAAUGAGUGGAUUUGGUAUCAUACCACUCAUGUUUCGGCACUGUACCUACAAACUUUGAGUCUAUAUUGCCAUCUCAAAAAUACAUGGGUAACAUAUUAAAGGUGCAUUCAUGUAUUUUUAUUUGACACCAUGUUGAUUAUAUCAUUUUUUGUUUGAAAAGAACUAUCCCUGAAGUGAUCAGAGCAGUACCGUGUGUGCCACCCAGUCGCCAGGUCAAGCUGCUGCGCUAGAUCGUCUUCGUCGUGGAUUGUCGUCAUGUUCGCAGCCAUCGCACCACCUGCCGGAUUAUUGUGGCAACUCCUGUUAGGCAUCCUCUCCUGAAUCCUCAUAGAACUCACAUGUACUCUUGGUUCAGUCUGUUUCUUAUGUGAGAUCUGAAGUCACAAUUUCAGUUAGCUCGGAACUAAAAAUUCAGUGAUCAUGAACAAUAUAUUCAAGUAGAGCAAAAGGUUCUUCUCUAUGAUUUUCUUGAUGAUUUCCUAAUUAAGUUACCGAUGAUUAUUUCAAUCUGUUCUGUCUUGAGCAAGCAAGCCGGUCUGACACUAAUGUGCCACUGUACUUGACUGGUUGUCACUGAAGCUUAUAUAUUACUAUUUCAGAAAUUAGCUGAGCAUUAAUCGACAAUGAAGAUGUUUUCCGUACAUAACAUAGGUCCUUUCUUUUCAUCUAUCUUUUCAUCACGGACUAGGUUUUUCUUAUGGGUUAAUCUGGAAUUCGUUUUUGUAUGCUACAUAUUUUAUUCCCAUUUUUGAUUCUUUUAGGAAACACACAGACACACGCACACUAUGAAUAUUAGAUGGAGUGGAGAGAGCAAAUGGAAGAAUCAUUGAGUGAAGGAAUACUUAGAGCACUAUCAUGUUUUAUCAGCUGGAGGGGAGACGAAGAUGGAAGAAUCACAGAGUGAAGGAAAACUGACAGCACUAUGAUGUUCACUAAACUUCAGAUGGCCGUUUUAUUAAAAGAAAAUUUUCGUAUUUUGCAGCCAGGGCAGCGCUACAGAGGUACAAACUUAGUACUAAGCUGUUGUUAUGCAUCUGCAUGAUUGUAUAUGUGUCUCUUAAUGUAUGAGAAAGCUCUUUGAUCUAAACAAAGGCUAGAGGGUACUUUCAGCAUUUUGAAAUAUUCCGCAGGAUAUAUGAAGACAAGCCUAUCCUAGCCGAUCGAUUCUCCAUAAUAAUUCACACUUGCUUUCAAGACUAUUUUUCAGUUGUGUCCUUUCGCUUCGUUCAACAUUUAAUUUUGAUAUCUGAUGCUUGCACGAGAUGCAAAAUUCUAGGAGCACACCUGUGGAUUUCAAAUUGCUUUUCAGAUGGGAAGUAAGUGCAAAGCCCACACUUUGCUCUUCAUAAUAAUCUCUCUGACAAUAUGUUCUUCUUUGUUGUGUGCACAGCAUGAGACCGCGUCCAUGGCAUCAUAUGUCACAGGACAACAAACGGCACAAGAGAUCAUACGAGCGGACAUUCGCUAUGUGGUGUCUCAAGAGACUAGCGAUGUCCGAGUUACCUGCUGCCCUUUGCGAUGAUCCCAUCCAGCAGGCAGGCGGGACUAGCAUCGAUCGGGUGAGUGGCAACGGCGAUCAACUCAGUUGAGCUAGGAUACAAUCAGAUAGCCACAGUCCACAGGGACAGUUUAGUCCUUUCACGAGCAUUCUUAUGUGAGAAGAAAAAAUGAAUAAAAGAGUUGCUAAUGGCAUAGUAAUCAAGGUGUCAACGAUCUAAGUGGCGAUUUUACGGAGUCAAUAUGGAAAGGGGCAAUUUCUUAAAGCCACAUGACGAAGGUGGCAAAAAUCCAAAUACUGCUACCUCAUACAGUCUAGGCCCCUGACACUUAAAAUAUUAGCAACAAUCAGUUUGCAUAAUAGUGAUGUGCUCAUUUGUCAUGGAUGGUUAUCAAAUGCAGUUCAGAGAGGGUAAGGUGCCUGUAAGUAUGUAAUACAAUUAGCUUAUGUGUGAUCACUUACCAAAUUUUAGCUUA